GAUCUGGGGGGUGGCAGCGGACCGCGAGGUCCAACCAGCGCGGCGUCCUGAUCCGGUCGCCAAACCGUCGUGCUGGGCCAAUGGCGAGACCGACCCGUCGAUC
rnacentral:ncRNA from 1 species